rnacentral:misc_RNA from 1 species
CCAAGCCCCCAUAUCCUGUGAAUCUUGAUUAUGGGUAAUUAAGUGUGGGGUACAUCCUCUAUUUCAAGACGAUUGUCUUUGCAGAGAUGAAAAGAGAAGCAAAAAUCAAGACGAGGAAGAGGAACCUCCUCUUAAAAGAUUGAAACAAGGCCAAAAACUUUCUAAAAAUUCCUCUCAUACAGAGCAUAAAUCAUGAGGAGAAAAAGGAAGAGGAACCUUCUCUCCAUCUAAACCAAAUUCAGAAUGACAACAGGACUACCACCACAGGAGAUUCUUAUAUGCACACGUAUUGAUGGGUUUUAUUGCUAGACUGAUAUAUUAUGUGAAAAAGUAUGUUGCCUUACUGUAUUAUUUUACAAUUGAAUUUUAUUAUUGAUUUUCUCUUAUUGCUUGAUGAGCAAUAAAUUCUAAUGUCUUUGGUGCAUUUAUCUCCUUCCAUUUUCAUCUA